GGGGGCAAAGGGGAAAGGAACAAAUAAGCAAAUUAAACUACUCACACAAGCAACACAUUGGAAGAAAGUAACCAAACAUGAUUGCAAAACAAGAGUUCAGUUCUUACUGUACCAAGCUCUAAUACACUUAGCCUCAAACAGAGGUUUAGGUUAACCAAGUAGCCAAACAGAAAUGGGUGCAUGGUAGUAAUACAAAAGUAAACAUUCUCUGAGACAGGGGAGGGGGGUAAGGGAGCAUGUUAAACUGAACCAAAUAGACUAGUAAUUAACAUGCUAGUGACAAAAAGAGCAACAAAACUAUAAGUAAAAGCACACAAGAAAUAUUAUGAAAUGCAAAAUUAAUAGAAACAUGUUGUUGUGGAAACUAUAUCUAAAGGGGUGACAUACCAGUUGCAAGUAAUAGACCACAAUAACAAUAGUGCACAGAGGAGAGCAAAGUGUGCAGAGAAUGAGAGCAGCAGUGUGAUAAUAGCAGUGCAGAGAAGCAAGCAACAGGAAAACACAAACAAAUACUGCAGUAGAAACCCAGUAGUGUAGUAGACAACCAAGCUUACUCAAUCUUGGCUUUUAGCCGAUUGAGUCUUCAAAUAAGAGAAUGAGAGGGUAUAGUAAUAGUAGAGAAAGUGAGAGAAGAGCGCAGAGAGUUUGAACUUGUGAGAGGUAUGCAAUGUGUAUUUUUGAAAGAAGAGAAAUUGUAUUCGUGUGUCUGUGUGUCAAGUGAGAAGAGAGUAGUAGUACUUAUAGCUUUCUGAAAAAUAAUAUAGAAUAGGGUAACAUGUACCUAAUUAUAGAACAGUACCAAUUUGAAUCAAUCACAUGAUCGUAAUUCAAAUUAAUUAGGGACUCAUGAUUCGAAUAGGAGUAUAUGCUACCAAGUAAGGAAAGAAUAAAUCUGAUGACUGAUUAUACCAUAACAAAAGCAGUAAGCAUAUAGGCUACCAAGUAAGGAAAGAAUAAAUCUGAUGACUGAAUAUACUAUAACAAAAGCAGUAAGCAUGCUGCAUGUAAUAGAGUCUAGGUACAAAUGCUUCAAGCAAGGAAAAAUAUAUGCGGGAUAGCCAAAAAUAUAUUUAAGUGCACAAUUAUGGUAACCAGCCCCAAACAUAGAGAGAAAUCUCAUAAGUAAGGAAUCAAUUUGAAAAAUCAGUGUAAGAACACCUACAAAUUAAGGAUUCAAAAAGAUGCUCAGAAUUAACAGAAUAUUCAGUAAAGAAAGGCAUUCGAUUUAUUUAUGCAAAACAAUCCAUAAACUAAAAACCCUAAGCAAGAUAAUUGAAUAAAACAGUGGGGGUCAGAACCCUGGAAGAGAUUUAAGACAUGGAACUCAGAAAACAAAAGGUUUCAAGCACAUAGCAUGGGGGUAAUCGCGUAAUACCCAAAAGAAACAGAAGCAUACUGAUUAAAAAGGUUCAGAAACCCUAGCAAGAAAAAAUUAAAGCAUGGACCCAGGUUAACAAGGACACCAAACAAACAAGUAAAACAACUAAACACAAAUGAACAUAUAGUACUCAAAAAGAGCAGAAGAAACGAUUUUGAAAAAGGGGGUCAGAAACCCUAAUUUGAAAGACUGGUAACCAUCUGAAGUUUGAAAUAACCGGAAACACUAAGUAAAAAUAGAGUAGAAAACAAAAUCAAACUGAGAGUUGUUUUAAAAGAGCAGAUAUUAA
rnacentral:lncRNA from 1 species